GUCUGUUUGAAGGUAUAAACAGUCUAGCCUGCCCACUGAUAAAGUAUUAAAUGGCCGCGGUAUUCUGACCGUGCAAAGGUAGCAUAAUCGUUAGUUUCUUAAUUGGGAUCUUGUAUGAAUGGUUGGAUGAAAGAAAAACUGUCUUUAUAAUUAAAAUAGAAUUUAACUUUUAAGUGAAAAGGCUUAAAUGUAUUAAAGGGACGAUAAGACCCUAUAAAGCUUUACACAGUUAAAUACUAAGUUAAAUUUUAAUGAGUUAUAAAGAUUUAGUGUGGAAAUUGUGUUUCAUUGGGGCGAUGAAAGUAAAAUGUAUAAUAACUGCUUUAUUUUCCAGACAUUAAUACAUGAGUAAUAUAGAACUUAAAAGAUCCUAGAUAAAGAUUUAGAGAUUAAGUUACUUUAGGGAUAACAGCGUUAUUUUUUUUGAGAGUUCUUAUCGAAAAAAAAGUUUGCGACCUCGAUGUUGAAUUAAAAUUUCUCUAUAAUUGUAGGUGUUAUAGAAGAAGGUCUGUUCGACCUUUAAAUUUUU
rnacentral:rRNA from 1 species